rnacentral:tRNA from 1 species
AGCUGGUUAGCUCACUUGGUAGAGCACUCCACCAAAAAUGGACAGGUCCCUGGUUCGAUACCAGGACCAGGCG